CCCAAGAGGCCAGGCGUUUCAGCAGAGGACCCCCGAGAGAAAAGCAUGCUGGAUGAUGCCGCUCCGCACGCUAAACGCCUCAGGAUAAGUGCCACCACUGGCGGUUCAGGAAAGCACCAAGACCAUGGGCACUACCGCCAUAACCCUUGAAGAGGUGCGGGCACUGGAGGGCAAGGAAGAGCAGGAGGAGUCGAUCUUGGCCUUGCUGGGCAUCAUCUGCACAUUCCUCAACCUUUUUGUGAUCGUCUUCGUUUACAUCUACACCACACUGUGAGGCGGAGGCCAAGCGUAGAGACCAGACUCGCCAAAAGACCACUUGGAGGGAAGGCUCGGAGACCACGCUUUUGAGGGAACACGCUUCACAUUAUGAACACCUCUGCAAACGGCAGCAGGCAGGGAUUGUACUGCUUGCCCCAGGAUUCAGAUGGAGUCGGGGAGGGCAUGUUGUUCUGCCACAGACGGGACUACGAUGAGAGAUAACGAUUAGCCGGAGGAGGAGGUGGUGCUUGUGGGGGCUACAUUAUGGCCAGCGCAAGAGAGAUGGCGUGGAAACCGUGCCUGGGAGGAUCUCCCUUAUGGCCAGAGAAGGACCUUCAACACAUCAGCAGAAUACUGAAGUGCUGGGAGCGUCUCGUCGACAUGCAGUACACGUGGACCUUAUGGACAAAUACAAAGCCCAAACAGUUGGCCCCUGUUAACCUCAAAUGUGUUUUCUACUGGCAUGUCCAGCUACUUUUGUGGCCCGGUGAAACACAGGGCCCACGAGUCCCUCUCCAUCUAGGGGCCUAUCAGAGGGAACGAGAGCUGUCGGGCAACAAAUUCCAUCUGAUCUCUUGAGGGGCUGCAAUUUUAUAGCUCUAAGGCUGCUGAUUAUUCAGCAAUAUGUGUCUGGGAAGGUUUGAUAAGCAGAGUUACCGGCCAUCAGAGAGAGACACUGAUGCAGACAGAGAAUACAAGGAAUGAAUAAGUACAUGGUAUAUAUUUAUAGGCUAUAGAUAUGUUAACUAAAAGGCUGUCCAACACACGUUCCCUGUGGAAUCUGAAGUAUGAAACUAUAGCCAACAUUAAUCACAGUUCAGAUGUGCACUUGCUACCGUUUGGACUUGGGUGAGGAGGAAGGACGUUCAGUACACCAGUGAAUUUAAGA